rnacentral:lncRNA from 1 species
CUCGGCUGCGUGUUCCCGGAGCUGCUCGCCCGCAACGGCGUCAAGUUCGGCGAGGCCGUGUGGUUCAAGGCGGGUUCGCAGAUCUUCAGCGAGGGCGGGCUGGACUACCUGGGCAACCCGAGCCUGAUCCACGCGCAGAGCAUCCUCGCCAUCUGGGCCUGCCAGGUCGUGCUCAUGGGCGCCGUCGAGGGGUACCGCAUCGCCGGCGGCCCACUCGGCGAGGUCGUCGACCCGCUCUACCCCGGCGGCAGCUUCGACCCACUCGGCCUCGCCGACGACCCCGAGGCCUUCGCCGAGCUCAAGGUGAAGGAGCUCAAGAACGGCCGCCUUGCCAUGUUCUCCAUGUUCGGAUUCUUCGUCCAGGCCAUCGUCACCGGCAAGGGCCCGCUCGAGAACCUCGCCGACCACCUCGCCGACCCCGUCAACAACAACGCCUGGGCCUACGCCACCAACUUCGUGCCCGGCAAGUGAGGAGGUGUCCGGAUGCAUGUGAGCGCGCGCGCGCAC